rnacentral:rRNA from 1 species
UACGGGGGGGGGCAAGCGUUGUUCGGAAUUACUGGGCGUAAAGGGCUCGUAGGUGGCCAACUAAGUCGGACGUGAAAUCCCUCGGCUUAACCGGGGAAUGGCAUCCGAUACUGGAUGGCUUGAGUUUGGGAGAGGGACGCGGAAUUCCAGGUGUAGCGGUGAAAUGCGUAGAUAUCGGGAAGAACACCCGUGGCGAAGGCGGCUCUCUGGGACGGUACUGACGCUGAGACGCGAAAGCGUGGGGAGCGAACAGG